GGCUCUGUGGUACAAAGGAUAGCACGUUAGCUCUCUAAGUAGUUGAGGAAAGGUGCUUACUAAAGGUUGUGGGUUUGAGUCCUACCAGAGCCA
rnacentral:tRNA from 1 species